UACGUAGGGUGCGAGCGUUAAUCGGAAUUACUGGGCGUAAAGCGUGCGCAGGCGGUGGCUCAAGCCAGGCGUGAAAUCCCCGGGCUCAACCUGGGAAUUGCGAUGGAGACUGCAAGGCUAGAAUCUGGCAGAGGGGGGUAGAAUUCCACGUGUAGCAGUGAAAUGCGUAGAGAUGUGGAGGAACACCGAUGGCGAAGGCAGCCCCCUGGGUCAAGAUUGACGCUCAUGCACGAAAGCGUGGGGAGCAAACAGG
rnacentral:rRNA from 1 species